ACGGGGUGCAGCAGGCGCGAAAACUUUACAAUGCGGGAAACCGUGAUAAGGGAACUCCGAGUGCCCGUAAAAUCGGGCUGUCCACCAGUUUAAAUAACUGGUGAAGAAAGGGCCGGGCAAGACCGGUGCCAGCCGCCGCGGUAAUACCGGCGGCUCGAGUGGUGGCCACUAUUACUGGGCUUAAAGCGUUCGUAGCUGGUCUGUUAAGUCUCUGGGGAAAUCUACUGGCUUAACCAAUAGGCGUCUCAGGGAUACUGGCAGACUAGGGACCGGGAGAGGUGAGAGGUACUCCAGGGGUAGGAGUGAAAUCCUGUAAUCCUUGGGGGACCACCUGUGGCGAAGGCGUCUCACCAGAACGGCUCCGACAGUGAGGGACGAAAGCUGGGGGAGCAAACCGGAUUAGAUACCCGAGUAGUCCCAGCCGUAAACGAUGCGCGUUAGGUGUAUCGAUGACCACGAGUCAUCGAGGUGCCGAAGGGAAACCGUGAAACGCGCCGCCUGGGAAGUACGGUCGCAAGGCUGAAACUUAAAGGAAUUGGCGGGGGAGCAC
rnacentral:rRNA from 1 species